rnacentral:ncRNA from 17 species
AUGAAGGUGGCAGGAGAGACCCAUGAGGGGCGCCGAAGAAGUAAAGCUUUCAGGCUUAGGACUGUCAUCA